rnacentral:rRNA from 1 species
UACGUAGGAUGCAAGCGUUGUCCGGAAUUACUGGGCGUAAAGGGCGCGCAGGCGGUGUGCCAAGUCAGAUGUGAAAUACUCCGGCUUAACCGGAGGGGGUCGUUUGAAACUGGCAGACUAGAGUACAACAGAGGAUAGUGGAAUUCCCGGUGUAGUGGUGAAAUGCGUAGAUAUCUGGAGGAACACCGGUGGCGAAGGCGGCAUCCUGGACCGGGAUUGACACUGAGGCGCGAAAGCCAGGGGAGCAAACGGG